rnacentral:lncRNA from 1 species
UCAACAUAUAUAUAAUUAUACUUUUUAUUGUAUUGCAAUAUACCUGCUGGCUCGGGGAAACAUCUAAAAUUACUUUCUAACGUUAGAGGUGAGGUUAAUUGACGACGAGUACACUUGCAAGCAUGCUGUUGUUACCUUUCAAUGUUGAACUAUAAAAAGAUGUUGAACUAAUCAACCGGACACGUACUGAAAAAAUAAUUCUUAUCUACAUUAACUUUUUCUUAUAAUGAAUUAUAUCCAUCUGUUUAUAACUUUUUGAGAGUGGUAUCCAAGACAAUAUCCGUUUUGCAGUUAAAUUGAACACUAUAUUGAAGGAUAUUGCAAUUAAUAUGAUUACUUCAAGCAUUAUCUAAUUAAUUAAUUUCCUGACUUAAAUAACAGUGAUGGGAUAUGCAUGGUGCUUGUGACCUAGCAAAUAUAAACCCAUGUAUUCAGGAAAAAUGUACCUUGGUUAAAUUUUCUAAAAUCUCACUGAAAUGGCAGCUGUAAAGUCUUCAAAUCAUAAGGUUCUGAUUUGGUGGAGCUUCUAUUAUCCCUU